UUAAGCGACUAAGCGUACACGGUGGAUGCCCUGGCAGUCAGAGGCGAUGAAGGACGUGCUAAUCUGCGAAAAGCGUCGGUAAGGUGAUAUGAACCGUUAUAACCGGCGAUGUCCGAAUGGGGAAACCCAGUGCAAUUCGUUGCACUAUCGUUAACUGAAUACAUAGGUUAACGAGGCGAACCGGGGGAACUGAAACAUCUAAGUACCCCGAGGAAAAGAAAUCAACCGAGAUUCCCCCAGUAGCGGCGAGCGAACGGGGAGCAGCCCAGAGUCUGAAUCAGCUUGUGUGUUAGUGGAACGGUCUGGAAAGUCCGACGGUACAGGGUGAUAGUCCCGUACACCAAAAUGCACAGGCUGUGAACUCGAAGAGUAGGGCGGGACACGUGGUAUCCUGUCUGAAUAUGGGGGGACCAUCCUCCAAGGCUAAAUACUCCUGACUGACCGAUAGUGAACCAGUACCGUGAGGGAAAGGCGAAAAGAACCCCGGCGAGGGGAGUGAAAAAGAACCUGAAACCGUGUACGUACAAGCAGUGGGAGCACCUUCGGGUGUGACUGCGUACCUUUUGUAUAAUGGGUCAGCGACUUAUAUUCUGUAGCAAGGUUAACCGUAUAGGGGAGCCGCAGGGAAACCGAGUCUUAACUGGGCGUUAAGUUGCAGGGUAUAGACCCGAAACCCGGUGAUCUAGCCAUGGGCAGGUUGAAGGUUGGGUAACACUAACUGGAGGACCGAACCGACUAAUGUUGAAAAAUUAGCGGAUGACUUGUGGCUGGGGGUGAAAGGCCAAUCAAACCGGGAGAUAGCUGGUUCUCCCCGAAAGCUAUUUAGGUAGCGCCUCGUGAACUCAUCUUCGGGGGUAGAGCACUGUUUCGGCUAGGGGGUCAUCCCGACUUACCAACCCGAUGCAAACUACGAAUACCGAAGAAUGUUAUCACGGGAGACACACGGCGGGUGCUAACGUCCGUCGUGAAGAGGGAAACAACCCAGACCGCCAGCUAAGGUCCCAAAGUCAUGGUUAAGUGGGAAACGAUGUGGGAAGGCACAGACAGCCAGGAUGUUGGCUUAGAAGCAGCCAUCAUUUAAAGAAAGCGUAAUAGCUCACUGGUCGAGUCGGCCUGCGCGGAAGAUGUAACGGGGCUAAACCAUGCACCGAAGCUGCGGCAGCGACACUAUGUGUUGUUGGGUAGGGGAGCGUUCUGUAAGCCUGCGAAGGUGUGCUGUGAGGCAUGCUGGAGGUAUCAGAAGUGCGAAUGCUGACAUAAGUAACGAUAAAGCGGGUGAAAAGCCCGCUCGCCGGAAGACCAAGGGUUCCUGUCCAACGUUAAUCGGGGCAGGGUGAGUCGACCCCUAAGGCGAGGCCGAAAGGCGUAGUCGAUGGGAAACAGGUUAAUAUUCCUGUACUUGGUGUUACUGCGAAGGGGGGACGGAGAAGGCUAUGUUAGCCGGGCGACGGUUGUCCCGGUUUAAGCAUGUAGGCUGAUUGUCCAGGCAAAUCCGGAUAAUCAAGGCUGAGGUGUGAUGACGAGGCACUACGGUGCUGAAGUAACAAAUGCCCUGCUUCCAGGAAAAGCCUCUAAGCAUCAGGUAACAUUAAAUCGUACCCCAAACCGACACAGGUGGUCAGGUAGAGAAUACCAAGGCGCUUGAGAGAACUCGGGUGAAGGAACUAGGCAAAAUGGUGCCGUAACUUCGGGAGAAGGCACGCUGGUGUGUAGGUGAAGUCCCUGCGGAUGGAGCUGAGACCAGUCGAAGAUACCAGCUGGCUGCAACUGUUUAUUAAAAACACAGCACUGUGCAAACACGAAAGUGGACGUAUACGGUGUGACGCCUGCCCGGUGCCGGAAGGUUAAUUGAUGGGGUUAUCCGUAAGGAGAAGCUCUUGAUCGAAGCCCCGGUAAACGGCGGCCGUAACUAUAACGGUCCUAAGGUAGCGAAAUUCCUUGUCGGGUAAGUUCCGACCUGCACGAAUGGCGUAAUGAUGGCCAGGCUGUCUCCACCCGAGACUCAGUGAAAUUGAACUCGCUGUGAAGAUGCAGUGUACCCGCGGCAAGACGGAAAGACCCCGUGAACCUUUACUAUAGCUUGACACUGAACAUUGAGCCUUGAUGUGUAGGAUAGGUGGGAGGCUUUGAAGCGUGGACGCCAGUCUGCGUGGAGCCAACCUUGAAAUACCACCCUUUAAUAUUUGAUGUUCUAACGUUGGCCCCUGACCGGGGUUGCGGACAGUGUCUGGUGGGUAGUUUGACUGGGGCGGUCUCCUCCCAAAGCGUAACGGAGGAGCACGAAGGUUAGCUAAUCCUGGUCGGACAUCAGGAGGUUAGUGCAAUGGCAUAAGCUAGCUUGACUGCGAGCGUGACGGCGCGAGCAGGUGCGAAAGCAGGUCAUAGUGAUCCGGUGGUUCUGAAUGGAAGGGCCAUCGCUCAACGGAUAAAAGGUACUCCGGGGAUAACAGGCUGAUACCGCCCAAGAGUUCAUAUCGACGGCGGUGUUUGGCACCUCGAUGUCGGCUCAUCACAUCCUGGGGCUGAAGUAGGUCCCAAGGGUAUGGCUGUUCGCCAUUUAAAGUGGUACGCGAGCUGGGUUUAGAACGUCGUGAGACAGUUCGGUCCCUAUCUGCCGUGGGCGCUGGAGAAUUGAGGGGGGCUGCUCCUAGUACGAGAGGACCGGAGUGGACGCAUCACUGGUGUUCGGGUUGUCAUGCCAAUGGCACUGCCCGGUAGCUAAAUGCGGAAGAGAUAAGUGCUGAAAGCAUCUAAGCACGAAACUUGCCCCGAGAUGAGUUCUCCCUGAGACUUUAAGUCUCCUGAAGGAACGUUGAAGACGACGACGUUGAUAGGCCGGGUGUGUAAGCGCAGCGAUGCGUUGAGCUAACCGGUACUAAUGAACCGUGAGGCUUAACCUU
rnacentral:rRNA from 1 species